rnacentral:rRNA from 1 species
CCUACGGGAGGCAGCAGUCGAGAAUCAUUCACAAUGGGGAAACCCUGGUGGUGCGACGCCGCGUGGGGGGAUGAAAGUCUUCGGAUUGUAAACCCCUGUCAUGUGGGAGCAAAUUAAAAAGAUAGUACCACAAGAGGAAGAGACGGCUAACUCUGUGCCAGCAGCCGCGGUAAUACAGAGGUCUCAAGCGUUGUUCGGAAUCAAUGGGCGUAAAGCGUGCGUUGGUUGUUUCGGAAGUCGGUUGGGAAAGGCGCGGGGUCAACCCGCGGACGGCAAAUGAUACUGCGAGACUAGAGUAAUGGAGGGGGAACCGGAAUUCUCGGUGUAGCAGUGAAAUGCGUAGAGAUCGAGAGGAACACUCGUGGCGAAGGCGGGUUCCUGGACAUUAACUGACGCUGAGGCACGAAGGCCAGGGGAGCGAAAGGGAUUAGAUACCCCGGUAGUC